rnacentral:lncRNA from 1 species
UAAAAACCCUAGAAGAGUUGUGGUGAGCAUAUUCUUCAGUUGGUUUUUUACAUUUCUUCGGGGUUGACUUGGCUCCGUAUUAUUAGUUCUGUGUUGUGCAGGCGGAUAAGUGCAUUUUUCUUGGUUAACGUGUAGCGGAAGGAAACACCCUUAAAAGUGGAGUUUGUCAUGGCGAAUUCACGUCAGUAGCAAGGGUAAACGCAUCGAACAGCAGAAGCUUCCAUUUUAGGAAGCUAAACCAAAAAGACAUGGCGGUCCUUUCGAGUCGACAAUCGACUCCAAUCAUCUUCAAAAGUCUUGUACUUUUCUGGCUCGAGGAACCAAGAGCAGAUAAGUCGACAUAUUCCACGGACCACCAGACAGGGUGA